GAUGAACGCUGGCGGCAUGCCUAACACAUGCAAGUCGAUCGGUAAGGCUCUUCGGAGUACACGAGAGGCGGACGGCUGAGUAACGCGUAGGAACACACCCUGCAGUGAGGGAUAAGACACCGAAAGGUGUUCUAAUACCGCAUACGGUCUUCGGAUUAAAGCAUUUAUGCGCUGAAGGAGUGGCCCGCGUCAUAUUAGAUAGUUGGUGAGGUAAUGGCUCACCAAGUCGAUGAUGUGUAGCUGGUCUGAGAGGAUGAUCAGCCAGACUGGAACUGAGACACGGUCCAGACUCCUACGGGAGGCAGCAGUGAGGAAUAUUUCACAAUGAGCGAAAGCUUGAUGGAGCAAUGCCGCGUGCAGGAUGAAGGCCCUCGGGUUGUAAACUGCUUUUAUAAGAGAAGAUUAUGACGGUAACUUAUGAAUAAGAGACGGCUAACUACGUG
rnacentral:rRNA from 1 species